rnacentral:rRNA from 1 species
UUGGGGACAUUGGUGACAGGUGGUGCAUGGUUGUCGUCAGCUCGUGUCGUGAGAUGUUGGGUUAAGUCCCGCAACGAGCGCAACCCUUAUUUUUAGUUGCCAUCAUUUAGUUGGGCACUCUAAGGAGACUGCCGGUGACAAACCGGAGGAAGGUGGGGAUGACGUCAAAUCAUCAUGCCCCUUAUGACCUGGGCUACACACGUGCUACAAUGGACGAUACAAAGAGUCGCAAACUCGCGAGGGUAAGCUAAUCUCAUAAAAUCGUUCUCAGUUCGGAUUGUAGGCUGCAACUCGCCUGCAUGAAGCCGGAAUCG